UGGGGAAUAUUGGACAAUGGGCGCAAGCCUGAUCCAGCAAUGCCGCGUGUGUGAAGAAGGCCUUCGGGUUGUAAAGCACUUUUAUCAGGAGCGAAACGCUGUCGGCUAAUACCCGGCGGAACUGACGGUACCUGAGGAAUAAGCACCGGCUAACUUCGUGCCAGCAGCCGCGGUAAUACGAAGGGUGCAAGCGUUAAUCGGAAUUACUGGGCGUAAAGCGUGCGUAGGCGGUUUCUUAAGUCUGCUGUGAAAUCCCCGGGCUCAACCUGGGAAUGGCAGUGGAUACUGGGAGGCUAGAGUGUGUCAGAGGGUGGUGGAAUUCCCGGUGUAGCGGUGAAAUGCGUAGAGAUCGGGAGGAACAUCAGUGGCGAAGGCGGCCACCUGGGACAACACUGACGCUGAGGCACGAAAGCGUGGGGAGCAAACAGGAUUAGAUACCCUGGUAGUCCACGCCCUAAACGAUGCGAACUGGAUGUUGGUCUCAACUCGGAGAUCAGUGUCGAAGCUAACGCGUUAAGUUCGCCGCCUGGGGAGUACGGUCGCAAGACUAAAACUCAAAUGAAUUGAC
rnacentral:rRNA from 1 species